GAUGAACGCUGGCGGCGUGCUUAACACAUGCAAGUCGAACGGUGAAGCGCCUUCCUUUUUGGUCGGUGUGGAUGAGUGGCGAACGGGUGAGUAACACGUGAGUAACCUGCUCCCUCCUUCAGGAUAACCGCAUGAAAGAGCGGCUAAUACGGGAUAUUUUGAGCCUGUCGCUUGAUGGGUCUGGGAAAGUUUUUGUUUCGGUGGUGGAUGGGGUCGCGGCGUAUUAGCUUGUUGGUAGGGUGAUGGCAUACCAAGGCGGCGAUGCGUAGCCGACCUGAGAGGAGGGUGGGCGAUCACGGUACUGCGACGCGGCCCAGCAUCCUCCGGGAGGAGGCAGCAGGGAGGAAUAUUGCAUGGGGGGCGCAAGGAUGAUGCAACGACGCCUCGGGAGUGAAGGACGCCGGCUGGUUGAGAACCUCUGUCAGGAAUGAAACAGUCUUGCCUCAUUUGUGGGUGUGUUGACGGUAGCUGAACAAGAAGCGACGGCUAACUACGUG
rnacentral:rRNA from 1 species